rnacentral:lncRNA from 1 species
GUCUAUACAUUGUACAUGGGGAAUGGAGCCGGAGGAACUUUCUACUCCAGCAGCAACAGGGAGCAGAUCAGGAGCCUGUAUAGACAUCCCUGCAUGGCUUUUGCACAAGUACAGACUGCCCAGUGACUGUGGUCACCUCCUCCAGACCAUCCCAUUAAGCAUGGGAACACAGAAGGUACAGCUGAGUUCAGAGCCUCUCUUUUGGAUCUGCCUGUCUAGCAGCUACCCUUUGGGGACCAUGCGGGAAUUCAGCUGUUUUGUACAAAGAUCGAGUUAGUUCAGCAGUCAUUCUUCUUACUGAACAAUGAUACAAUGCCCACAAACCUUGCUUGUAAUAAUUUCUUCUUGGUUUUUGUUUUGGCAUGCAAAUGCUUUUAACAUUUGUGUAUAAAUUUAUUUUUUGGCAUCAUCUACAACCCAAAUGUGUGUUUUUGUAUUGUGUAUUAAUGCCUUUCAUCCUACCUUUAACAAUGCAUUUACAAUCAUUUUUCAGCAUACCUUUUCAAUUAUUUUCUUCUUUUCAUUCAUUACUCUUUAUUAAAUGGGAAUAUCACUUUUAUUAGGAAAGACAGAUGUUACGCAUUCUCUCUUUUAUCGUUUUCUGGAAAUGUUCUCUAAAAUACCUCUAGUUGGAAAGAAGAGGAACAAAGAUUUUUCUGGAAACCACAAGACAAAAUAUGCUGAGAACAUCAUUGUGAAUAAGAGAUGUGACUAUUGCCAUUAUAUGAUUCAGUUUGUCCUGGUUUUUAAAGGUUAAAAAUUACUAAUUUUUGUAGACAGAGCAUUGAGAGAUCGAUUUUCUGGACAGGAAUUUUGUUAAUAUGCAUGUUUGUUUUUCUCUUACCCCAAAGUUAGAAACAUUGGCUGGACUUUCUGAUUCAUUCCAAGUAGUUCUUCUAAAAGUAUUCAUGACAUAUCUCUGUACAGAUGGC